UACCAGACUCCUACGGGAGGCAGCAGUGGGGGAUAUUGCACAAUGGGGGGAACCCUGAUGCAGCGACGCCGCGUGGGUGAAGGAGUAUUUCGGUAUGUAAAGCCCUAUCAGCAGGGAAGAACAAUGACGGUACCUGACUAAGAAGCACCGGCUAAAUACGUGCCAGCAGCCGCGGUAAUACGUAUGGUGCAAGCGUUAUCCGGAUUUACUGGGCGUAAAGGGAGCGCAGGCGGCGCGCCAAGUCUGAUGUGAAGCCCCGGGGCUCAACCCCGGGCAUGCAUUGGAAACUGGCGGGCUGGAGUGCCGGAGAGGUAAGCGGAAUUCCUAGUGUAGCGGUGAAAUGCGUAGAUAUUAGGAGGAACACCAGUGGCGAAGGCGUCUUACUGGACCGAAACUGACGUUGAGGCUCGAAAGCGUGGGGAGCAAACAGGAUUAGAUACCCCGGUACA
rnacentral:rRNA from 1 species